AAACCUUGGUCCUCCAUGCUUUAUUGGAACUACCCCAAUCCAUCCCGAACUUGGGUGUCAAAAAAUAAAGGGUGGAAUAAUAGUUGUCGGAAGCCCGGCAGUGAAAGUUACACUAGGGCCAAGGUG
rnacentral:rRNA from 1 species